rnacentral:ncRNA from 1 species
GAUUCUAACCUUGUGUCAGACCCGCGGGCCAAGGGACAGUCUCAGGUAGAGAGUUUCUAUGGGGCGUAGGCCUCCCAAAAGGUAACGGAGGCGUGCAAAGGUUUCCUCGGGCCAGACGGACAUUGGUCCUCGAGUGCAAAGGCAGAAGGGAGCUUGACUGCAAGACUCACCCGUCGAGCAGAGACGAAAGUCGGCCUUAGU